rnacentral:rRNA from 1 species
UGGGGAAUUUUGGACACUGGGGGAAACCCUGAUCCAGCCAUCCCGCGUGUGCGAUGAAGGCCUUCGGGUUGUAAAGCACUUUUGGCAGGAAAGAAACGUCAUGGGUUAAUACCCCGUGAAACUGACGGUACCUGCAGAAUAAGCACCGGCUAACUACGUGCCAGCAGCCGCGGUAAUACGUAGGGUGCAAGCGUUAAUCGGAAUUACUGGGCGUAAAGCGUGCGCAGGCGGUUCGGAAAGAAAGAUGUGAAAUCCCAGAGCUCAACUUUGGAACUGCAUUUUUAACUACCGGGCUAGGGUGUGUGAGAGGGAGGUGGAAUUCCGCGUGUAGCAGUGAAAUGCGUAGAUAUGCGGGGGAACACCGAUGGCGAAGGCAGCCUCCUGGGAUAACACUGACGCUCAUGCACGAAAGCGUGGGGAGCAAACAGG